rnacentral:rRNA from 1 species
CCCUUAGAUGUUCUGGGCUGCACGCGCGCUACACUGAUGCACUCAACGAGUUUACGACCUUGCCCGAUAGGGUUGGGUAAUCUUUUUAAAAUGCAUCGUGAUGGGGAUAGAUUAUUGCAAUUAUUAAUCUUCAACGAGGAAUGCCUAGUAAGCGUGAUUCAUCAAAUCGCGUUGAUUACGUCCCUGCCCUUUGUACACACCGCCCGUCGCUCCUACCGAUUGAAUGUGUUGGUGAGGAGCUCGGAUUGGCAGCAGUUGGUGGUUCGCCACCGGCUAUUGCUGAGAAGUCCUCCAAACCGCCCCAUUUAGAGGAAGGAGAAGUCGUAACA